rnacentral:rRNA from 1 species
CAGUGGAGAAGGCGACUCUCUGGUCUGUAACUGACGCUGAGGAGCGAAAGCGUGGGGAGCGAACAGGAUUAGAUACCGUGGUAGUCCACGCCGUAAACGAUGAGUGCUAAGUGUUAGGGGGCUUCCGCCCCUUAGUGCUGCAGCUAACGCAUUAAGCACUCCGCCUGGGGAGUACGGUCGCAAGACUGAAACUCAAAGGAAUUGACGGGGGCCCGCACAAGCGGUGGAGCAUGUGGUUUAAUUCGAAGCAACGCGAAGAACCUUACCAGGUCUUGACAUCCUCUGACAAUCCUAGAGAUAGGACGUCCCCUUCGGGGGCAGAGUGACAGGUGGUGCAUGGUUGUCGUCAGCUCGUGUCGUGAGAUGUUGGGUUAAGUCCCGCAACGAGCGCAACCCUUGAUCUUAGUUGCCAGCAUUCAGUUGGGCACUCUAAGGUGACUGCCGGUGACAAACCGGAGGAAGGUGGGGAUGACGUCAAAUCAUCAUGCCCCUUAUGACCUGGGCUACACACGUGCUACAAUGGACAGAACAAAGGGCAGCGAAACCGCGAGGUUAAGCCAAUCCCACAAAUCUGUUCUCAGUUCGGAUCGCAGUCUGCAACUCGACUGCGUGAAGCUGGAAUCGCUAGUAAUCGCGGAUC